rnacentral:rRNA from 1 species
AAAGAACCCCGGCGAGGGGAGUGAAAAAGAACCUGAAACCGUGUACGUACAAGCAGUGGGAGCCCCACCACCAAAGCAUUCUCUGGUGUUGAAGGCCCUGCAAAGCAGCAUCGCGGUGGCGGAGCGUCGUUUGCGACGCCCAACACACAAAACAAGCGGUGAGUGCUUUGGGGUGGGGUGACUGCGUACCUUUUGUAUAAUGGGUCAGCGACUUAUAUUCUGUAGCAAGGUUAACCGAAUAGGGGAGCCGGAGGGAAACCGAGUCUUAAUUGGGCGUUAAGUUGCAGGGUAUAGACCCGAAACCCGGUGAUCUAGCCAUGGGCAGGUUGAAGGUUGGGUAACACUAACUGGAGGACCGAACCGACUAAUGUUGAAAAAUUAGCGGAUGACCUGUGGCUGGGGGUGAAAGGCCAAUCAAACCGGGAGAUAGCUGGUUCUCCCCGAAAGCUAUUUAGGUAGCGCCUCGUGAAUUCAUCUCCGGGGGUAGAGCACUGUUUCGGCUAGGGGGCCAUCCCGGCUUACCAACCCGAUGCAAACUGCGAAUACCGGAGAAUGUUAUCACGGGAGACACACGGCGGGUGCUAACGUCCGUCGUGAAGAGGGAAACAACCCAGACCGCCAGCUAAGGUCCCAAAGUCAUGGUUAAGUGGGAAACGAUGUGGGAAGGCCCAGACAGCCAGGAUGUUGGCUUAGAAGCAGCCAUCAUUUAAAGAAAGCGUAAUAGCUCACUGGUCGAGUCGGCCUGCGCGGAAGAUGUAACGGGGCUAAACCAUGCACCGAAGCUGCGGCAGCGACACUCAGGUGUUGUUGGGUAGGGGAGCGUUCUGUAAGCCUGUGAAGGUGGCCUGUGAGGG